CAACAGGUGUAGUAGACCUCACAGUGAAAUGCUGAAUACAACAGGUGUAGUAGACCUCACAGUGAAAUGCUGAAUACAACAGGUGUAGUAGACCUUACAGUGAAAUGCUGAAUACAAUAGGUGUAGUAGACCUUACAGUGAAAUGCUGAAUACAACAGGUGUAGUAGACCUCACAGUGAAAUGCUGAAUACAACAGGUGUAGUAGACUUCACAGUGAAAUGCUGAACACAACAGGUGUAGUAGACCUCACAGUGAAAUACUGAAUACAACAGGUGUAGUAGACCUUACAGUGAAAUGCUGAAUACAACAGGUGUAGUAGACCUUACAGUGAAAUGCUGAAUACAACAGGUGUAGUAGACCUCACAGUGAAAUGCUGAAUACAACAGGUGUAGUAGACCUCACAGUGAAAUGCUGAAUACAACAGGUGUAGUAGACCUUACAGUGAAAUGCUGAAUACAAUAGGUGUAGUAGACCUUACAGUGAAAUGCUGAAUACAACAGGUGUAGUAGACCUCACAGUGAAAUGCUGAAUACAACAGGUGUAGUAGACCUUACAGUGAAAUGCUGAAUACAACAGGUGUAGUAGACCUCACAGUGAAAUGCUGAAUACAACAGGUGUAGUAGACCUCACAGUGAAAUGCUGAAUACAACAGGUGUAGUAGACCUCACAGUGAAAUGCUGAAUACAACAGGUGUAGUAGACCUCACAGUGAAAUGCUGAAUACAACAGGUGUAGUAGACCUUACAGUGAAAUGCUGAAUACAAUAGGUGUAGUAGACCUUACAGUGAAAUGCUGAAUACAACAGGUGUAGUAGACCUCACAGUGAAAUGCUGAAUACAACAGGUGUAGUAGACCUCACAGUGAAAUGCUGAAUACAACAGGUGUAGUAGACCUUACAGUGAAAUGCUGAAUACAACAGGUGUAGUAGACCUCACA